GCGGCUGUAGCUCAGUUGGUAGAGCACAACCUUGCCAAGGUUGGGGUCACGAGUUCGAGUCUCGUUAGCCGCU
rfam:Catenovulum agarivorans DS-2 contig23, whole genome shotgun sequence.